AAAGGAAUAGACGGGGACCCGCACAAGCGGUGGAGCAUGUGGUUUAAUUCGAAGCAACGCGAAGAACCUUACCUAAACUUGACAUCCCGAUGACCAUCUAUGUAAUGUAGACUUUCUUCGGAACAUCGGUGACAGGUGGUGCAUGGUUGUCGUCAGCUCGUGUCGUGAGAUGUUGGGUUAAGUCCCGCAACGAGCGCAACCCUUAUCCUUAGUAGCCAUCAUUAAGUUGGGCACUCUAGGGAGACUGCCGUGGAUAACACGGAGGAAGGUGGGGAUGACGUCAAAUCAUCAUGCCCCUUAUGUUUAGGGCUACACACGUGCUACAAUGGCUGUCACAAAGUGAAGCGAACCUGCGAGGGCAAGCAAACCACAAAAAGGCAGUCCCAGUUCGGAUUGUAGUCUGCAACUCGACUACAUGAAGUUGGAAUCGCUAGUAAUCGCGAAUCAGAAUGUCGCGGUGAAUACGUUCCCGGGUCUUGUACACACCGCCCGU
rnacentral:rRNA from 1 species